AUGGAGUGACGCGGAAGGUUAAGUUUACGGACUGACGGAAUAGUCCCGUGAUGCUUAUAUCCGGAGAGUAGGUAAAUCCGCUCUCGUAAGGUAAGCAGCAGCAGUAGGGAAGCCUUCGGGUGAACCAUCUAACUGAUACCAGCCGCCAAGAAAUAGCUUCUAAGCAUAUUGAUUUGUAACCGUACCCUAAACCGACACAGGUGGUCGAGGAGAGUAUCCUCAGGCGCUCGAGAUAACUAUCCAAAAGGAACUCGGCAAAUUAACCCCGU
rnacentral:rRNA from 1 species